rnacentral:rRNA from 1 species
UUGGUCAAUGGCCGAAAGGCUGAACCAGUAACUUGGAAGAAUGUAAAUGUAUUCAAGAAAUAAAAUAACGAUUAACUCGUAUAAAAUUCUAAAUAGGAUAAUGAUAAUGACAAUUUCCUAUUUAUAAGUCUUGACCAAAUUACGUGCCAGCAGUCGCGGUAAUACGUAGAAGACUAGUGUUAGUCAUCUUUAUUAGGUUUAAAGGGUACCUAGACGGUAAAUUAAACUCUAAAUGAGUACUUUUUUACUAGAGUUUUAUGUGAGAAGGAAGAACUUCUGGAGUAGGGAUAAAAUACGCAAAUACCAGAAGGACUGAUAACGGCGAAGGCGUCCUUCUAUGUAAAAACUGACGUUGAGGGACGAAGGCUCGGGUAGCGAUAAGGAUUAGAUACCCUAGUAGUCCAAGCAGACAAUGAUGAAUGUCAUAGACUAGAUUUAAUAUUUAGUCUAUAAAUGAAAGUGUAAGCAUUCCACCUCAAGAGUACUAUGGCAACAUAUAAACUGAAAUCAUUAGACCGUUUCUAAAACCAGUAGUGAAGUAU